GGCAGCAUAACCUCCAAGUUUCAGGAAGCCCAGGAGCCAAAGCAAGGAAAACCUUUGGGAUCCAGCGAAGGAUCCGAAGAGAUAAGCUGUUCAGAUGCCAACUCAGGGCUGCCAAGAUGGUGCAGGAGGCACCUUCGAUUGGUAGGAUGUCCCUCGAGAGAUGUUCCUGAUCUGCUAUUACUGGAAUUUGCAACUCCUGUAAAAAGCUGCUUGGGGCAUGAGUCACCCAGUCGCUGUCCAAACCACUGCCUCUGCAGCGCACCAUCCCGUUCCCCCAUUCUCCUCUCGAUUUCUGCAGCUGCAAUCUGAGAGGUAUUUGUUGCCUCCAGGGAGGGGCCCCAGGACCUGGCGCCAGCAUCCUUCCCCUGGCCAGCUGCCUUUGCACACUGCAGGUAGUCGGAAUUUUCUGGAUUCCAGGGAGAAAUAAGCCUGUCUGAAGAACCUAGACAGUGUAUCUUCUCAUCACCUGGUGCAUACCUAGAGAGAACAAGCCUAAGACAACAUCCGAUUCCUUGCAUUUCUUAAUAAUGAGUUUGGUCUGCAUGCAUCUGGUAGUUUUGCAGAAGCCUGAAUCAGACGCAUUAGGGGCGUCAUCGGGAGAACUGGUUUGUCAAAUGGAUGCAGGCCCGGGAGAAAACAUCAACUAAAAAGACAUCAGUUCUGCCCUCUUCACACCACUCUCUGGAAAUGCUGUAAUAUGCUGUUUUGGAUGGCUGACUUUAAAUCCUAUGUAAUGUGUAGGGAACAUUUGAUGGUACUUGGGUAUAUUAGGGAUGAAGAAAGUGGCCCAAAGUCAUUUUCUCUGUUCUUAAGGAUGGUGGUGGACACAACUGUCAUCAAAGCCUUGUUUUAUACUCUCAAUUCAACUAUUUUGUUGUUGUUGUAGAUGUAGGAAACAGUCUAUGAGGCGGCAAACAAUGAUGAAUGAAUUAAACAUAUACUUGUCCAUAGGGUCUUGCCACUCUAAAUGUGUCUUGAGCUUGUCUGAUCUUGGAAGCUAAGCAGGAUCAGACCUACUUAGUAUCUUGGAUGGGAGACUGCCCGCGAAUACAAAAGCCUAUAAGUUCCCAGCACUUUGGGAGGCCGAGGCGGGUGGAUCAUGAGGUCAAGAGAUUGAGACCAUCCUGAUCAACAGGGUGAAACCCCGUCUCUACUAAAAAUACGAAAAAUUAGUUGGGCAUGGUGGUGCAUGCCUGUAAUCCCAGCUACUCGGGAGGCUGAGGAAGGAGAAUUGCCUGAACCCAGGAGGCGGAGGUUGCCGUGAGCCAAGAUUGCACCAUUGCA